GGUAAAUUGAAUCUUAAUAAGAACCGAAGACAUAGCAAUGUAUUUAGUAAUGAAAGCCCAUUUAAUAGAGGAACUUUCAUAAUUAAAGACUCAUAUUGCAGCUAGAAAGAACACAGUCCCACUACAUUCAGUUUGUAUACAAAUCUUCUUGGAUAUGUUGUAUGCUUUACUCAGGCCUUACUGCUUUCUUCUUUUUGUCUGCUUCUUCAGGUUCUCUGCUUUCAUGCCAUGGUUUCUGAUUUUGCUCAGGAAUUUCCAAGCUUCUAUAAGGCCAGCAGUGAUUUCUAUGUCUCCUGCAGGUUCUUGUCUUGUGGGGCUGCCAGACCGCCACAGCCACGUGACCGGCUGUCUGAUUUCUGACUCAAGCUUUUCAUUUCCUAAAUGAUAACGGAUAAAAGAUAAAAUCUGGCACACACAGUGGUAAAUUUCCCAAUUGCCCCUCUGCUUGGAAAACACACAUACCCCAGGGUGAAUGUGAUGGAGAAUCUUUGGAAUGGCCCAGCACAAGGUUAUGCGUGUGCUGUGUUUUACAGCAAAUUAAUGAUGUCAGAUAUGUUGCCCUUGAGAAGUACCUAUACAUGCAAACAGAUAUCGGAAU
rnacentral:lncRNA from 1 species